AUUGAACGCUAGCGGGAUGCUUUACACAUGCAAGUCGAACGGCAGCGCGGACUUCGGUCUGGCGGCGAGUGGCGAACGGGUGAGUAAUGUAUCGGAACGUGCCCAGUAGCGGGGGAUAACUACGCGAAAGCGUAGCUAAUACCGCAUACGCCCUACGGGGCAACGCAGGGGAUCGUAAGACCUUGCACUAUUGGAGCGGCCGAUAUCGGAUUAGCUAGUUGGUGAGGUAACGGCUCACCAAGGCGACGAUCCGUAGCUGGUUUGAGAGGACGACCAGCCACACUGGGACUGAGACACGGCCCAGACUCCUACGGGAGGCAGCAGUGGGGAAUUUUGGACAAUGGGGGCAACCCUGAUCCAGCCAUCCCGCGUGUGCGAUGAAGGCCUUCGGGUUGUAAAGCACUUUUGGCAGGAAAGAAACGUCGCGGGCUAAUACCCCGUGGAACUGACGGUACCUGCAGAAUAAGCACCGGCUAACUACGUG
rnacentral:rRNA from 1 species